AGUGGACGCUGGCGGUAGGCCUAACACAUGCAAGUCGAACGGCAGCACAGGAGAGCUUGCUCUCUGGGUGGCGAGUGGCGGACGGGUGAGGAAUACAUCGGAAUCUACUCUGUCGUGGGGGAUAACGUAGGGAAACUUACGCUAAUACCGCAUACGACCUACGGGUGAAAGCAGGGGAUCUUCGGACCUUGCGCGAUUGAAUGAGCCGAUGUCGGAUUAGCUAGUUGGCGGGGUAAAGGCCCACCAAGGCGACGAUCCGUAGCUGGUCUGAGAGGAUGAUCAGCCACACUGGAACUGAGACACGGUCCAGACUCCUACGGGAGGCAGCAGUGGGGAAUAUUGGACAAUGGGCGCAAGCCUGAUCCAGCCAUACCGCGUGGGUGAAGAAGGCCUUCGGGUUGUAAAGCCCUUUUGUUGGGAAAGAAAUCCAGCUGGCUAAUACCCGGUUGGGAUGACGGUACCCAAAGAAUAAGCACCGGCUAACUCCGUGCCAGCAGCCGCCGUAA
rnacentral:rRNA from 1 species